rnacentral:rRNA from 1 species
UGAAAAGUGAGCGGAUGAACUGAGGGUAGCGGAGAAAUUCCAAUCGAACCUGGAGAUAGCUGGUUCUCUCCGAAAUAGCUUUAGGGCUAGCCUCAAGUGAUGAUUAUUGGAGGUAGAGCACUGUUUGGACGAGGGGCCCCUCUCGGGUUACCGAAUUCAGACAAACUCCGAAUGCCAAUUAAUUUAACUUGGGAGUCAGAACAUGGGUGAUAAGGUCCGUGUUCGAAAGGGAAACAGCCCAGACCACCAGCUAAGGUCCCAAAAUAUAUGUUAAGUGGAAAAGGAUGUGGCGUUGCCCAGACAACUAGGAUGUUGGCUUAGAAGCAGCCAUCAUUUAAAGAGUGCGUAAUAGCUCACUAGUCGAGUGACACUGCGCCGAAAAUGUACCGGGGCUAAACAUAUUACCGAAGCUGUGGAUUGUCCUUUGGACAAUGGUAGGAGAGCGUUCUAAGGGCGUUGAAGCAUGAUCGUAAGGACAUGUGGAGCGCUUAGAAGUGAGAAUGCCGGUGUGAGUAGCGAAAGACGGGUGAGAAUCCCGUCCACCGAUUGACUAAGGUUUCCAGAGGAAGGCUCGUCCGCUCUGGGUUAGUCGGGUCCUAAGCUGAGGCCGACAGGCGUAGGCGAUGGAUAACAGGUUGAUAUUCCUGUACCACCUAUAAUCGUUUUAAUCGAUGGGGGGACGCAGUAGGAUAGGCGAAGCGUGCGAUUGGAUUGCACGUCUAAGCAGUAAGGCUGAGUAUUAGGCAAAUCCGGUACUCGUUAAGGC